rnacentral:rRNA from 1 species
CCUACGGGAGGCAGCAGUGGGGAAUAUUGGACAAUGGGGGAAACCCUGAUCCAGCGACGCCGCGUGAGUGAAGAAGUAUUUCGGUACGUAAAGCUCUAUCAGCAGGAAAGAAAAUGACGGUACCUGACUAAGACGCCCCGGCUAACUACGUGCCAGCAGCCGCGGUAAUACGUAGGGGGCAAGCGUUAUCCGGAUUUACUGGGUGGAAAGGGAGCGUAGACGGCAGCGCAAGUCUGGAGUGAAAUGCCGGGGCCCAACCCCGGAACUGCUCUGGAAACUGUGAAGCUGGAGUGCAGGAGAGGUAAGCGGAAUUCCUGGUGUAGCGGUGAAAUGCGUAGAUAUCAGGAGGAACACCGGCGGCGAAGGCGGCUUACUGGACUGUAACUGACGUUGAGGCUCGAAGGCGUGGGGAGCAAACAGGAUUAGAUACCCGUGUAGUC